UGUCUUCAUUGCAUGGUGGUCUCAGGAGACCAGGAAGGUUUUUCCAUUAAAAAAAAAAAAAAAACAUGGGCGAAGCUACUAUGAGCAUUCUUUAUGUCUUCUCUUCAGUAUGCAUAUGCAGUUGACCAUCUAGGGUAUAAAGUAAGACACAUUGUGAGCCCUAUUCAAGCUCUGCCAAAGGUCCCACACAGCACUGGAGAUGGGGUGACCUGCUGUAGCCGCACAGCUCUUCUGAGAUGGGUGUGAUCUGCCAAGAAGCCAAUCAACCUGCUUACUGCAAGACAUGGAAGCAAGACUCCACCCCUGUAACUUUAUCCCUGCCUUUGGUAUACCCCCUGAAAUAAACCAUGAGAGCCAUUUUCUAAUUGUCUAGCUCCAGCUCCUGUGUGGACUGGACCUGUCAAGCCCUCCAAUCCUUUAAAAUUAA